CGAAGAGCGUCUCCAGCAGGCGCUUGAUGUAGUGGAAUGAGUGACAGAUGCAGGCGAGGCUGGUCGGGGGGAGCAGGCUCAGCUGGGGCUGGUCCGGCAGGUCUUCUGCCUUCCCCUACCCUCCUCCCACCUGCCCCACUUACUGCACCACUGUAUGCCGACUGGACGUAAAGUCAUAUUUGUGGCCAUAGAUGAAGGGCACUCGGAAGUAGAAGAGCAGGUAGAUGAAAAGGGGCCCCGCGUACUCUGUUAGGAAGACCUGAGAGUAGAGGGGGGCAAGAUGAGUCACCCAACGUGGCUGACGGGAAAAGAGGCCGUGGGUAGGGUCAGGACUCACCGUCACCC
rnacentral:lncRNA from 1 species